CCACGCGCACCCCAGUGACCGAGGGAGGCUCGCGCGCGGGCGCCACCCGCUGCGCCCUCGCCUCGCGCCGUAACUGCAGACGCUGCCGGGAACAAGGGAAAUAAAUCCAAAGAACAGAAACAGGAGAGAGGGAGAUGUAGUAAGAUGGCCGUGGAUGGGCCCUGAUUUUGAAAUCUAGACAGCUUAUCUUGCAGCAGAAUUCAAGUCUGGCUCAUCACAGAGUGAACACGGCUAUGCUUAUGAAAUGGAACCACCACCAAUUUUGUCAAUGCCGCUGAUGCCGUUUCCUGGCUACUGGCUCUAUGUAAGUACAGACCUACUAGGCCCUAGCUUGACCAAAUCCCAGCAUGAACAUUUGCAGGAGCCUAUUUGACAUUACUAUGGAGACCACGAUCCUAGCACACAAGAAGCACAGAAGUCCCUUGUAGAGUCACUCCACCUGCUUCCAAAUCACAGAAGGCGUUCUUCAUGAAUGGGAUGAAUUUUCCCCCUUCCAUCUCUGCAAAGGCUGAGAGCAGGGGAGCUGUUUAUUGAAGAAAUUUCUCAUUAGUUCUGCUGAUGUAUGCACUGCAAAUGACAACCUCAUAACAAAAAAAAUCUGGACCACCCUAGAAAAUGUUUUUGAAUGACUAAUUUUAAAA